rnacentral:ncRNA from 1 species
GCUGGUCUGGGAACCGAUGUUGUAGUAGGUAAGUGAUGGGGUGACGCAGGAGGGUAGCUCUACCCGGCGGUGGUUGUCCGGGGGUAAGCGUGUAGGCCGGUGUGUUGGCAAAUCCGCACACCGUGUGGCUGAGACGUGAUGCCGAGCCGUUUUUGGUGAAGUGAGUGAUCCCAUGCUGUCGAGAAAAGCCUCUAGCGAGUUCGUGUGUGGCCAGUACCCUAAACCGACGCAGGUGGUCAGGUAGAGAAUACCGAGGCGUUCGGGUGAACCAUGGUUAAGGAACUCGGCAAAUUGUCCCCGUAACUUUGGGAGAAGGGGAGCCCUGUCUGGUGAUGGACCUUUGCGUCUUGAGCUGGGUGGGGUCGCAGAUAGCGGGGGGAAGCGACUGUUUAUUAAAAACACAGGUCCGUGCGAAGUCGUAAGACGCUGUAUACGGACUGACGCCUGCCCGGUGCUGGAACGUUAAGAGGACUGGUUAGUGGGUUUCGGCCUGCGAAGCUGGGAAUCUAAGCGCCAGUAAACGGCGGUGGUAACUAUAACCAUCCUAAGGUAGCGAAAUUCCUUGUCGGGUAAGUUCCGACCUGCACGAAUGGCGUAACGACUUCCCCACUGUCUCAACCAUGGGCCCGGUGAAAUUGCACUACGAGUAAAGAUGCUCGUUUCGCGCAGCAGGACGGAAAGACCCCGGGACCUUCACUAUAGCUUGACAUUGGUGUUUGGGAUGGUUUGUGUAGGAUAGGUGGGAGCCUGUGAGACUGUCACGCUAGUGGCGGUGGAGGCGUUGGUGAAAUACCACUCUGACUGUUUCGGGCAUCUAACUUUGGACCGUGAUCCGGUUCGGGGACAGUGUCUGGUGGGUAGUUUAACUGGGGCGGUUGCCUCCCAAAGAGUAACGGAGGCGCCCAAAGGUUCCCUCAGCCUGGUUGGUAAUCAGGUGUUGAGUGUAAGUGCACAAGGGAGCUUGACUGUGAGACGGACGUGUCGAGCAGGAGCGAAAGCUGGGACUAGUGAUCCGGCACCGGCGUGUGGAAGCGGUGUCGCUCAACGGCUAAAAGGUACCCCGGGGAUAACAGGCUGAUCUUCCCCAAGAGUCCAUAUCGACGGGAUGGUUUGGCACCUCGAUGUCGGCUCGUCGCAUCCUGGGGCUGGAGUUGGUCCCAAGGGUUGGGCUGUUCGCCCAUUAAAGCGGCACGCGAGCUGGGUUUAGAACGUCGUGAGACAGUUCGGUCCCUAUCCGCUGUGCGCGUUGGAGACUUGAGAAGGGCUGUCCCUAGUACGAGAGGACCGGGACGGACGAACCUCUGGUGUGCCAGUUGUCCUGCCAAGGGCAUGGCUGGUUUGCUACGUUCGGGAGGGAUAACCGCUGAAAGCAUCUAAGCGGGAAGCUUGCUUCGAGAUGAGGUCUCCUGCCUCCUUUGAGAGGGUAAGGCUCCCUGUAGACGACGGGGUUGAUAGGCCGGGUGUGGAAGCCCUGUGAGGGGUGGAGCUGACCGGUACUAAUAGGCCGAGGGCUUGUCCGC